rnacentral:tmRNA from 1 species
GGGGCUGCUCUGGUUUCGACGAGGGCUAGACGUCUGGUAGUGCAUGUCGAGCUGAAUGUGCUCGUAAAACUGAUUCAAAAAACUUAACUGCAAACGACGAACGUUUCGCACUCGCAGCUUAAUUGCUGAGAGGCUUGCAACAACUCUCCGGUGGGUUGGGCAAAGGGAUGAUGGGGCAACCUAGUAUCUCUCGGCUGCAAGCUUAUUCACAUCGGAUGGUCUCGCACUGGGUGACUUAGUGCGAGGCGAGAAAAUAGGUCGCUGGUCUGCUUCGUAGCGUGCCCCUGCGCGACGAGAUGGGCGAGACACAAAUCAGAAGGCUACACAUGUAGAUCGAUCAGAAAAAAGGUUUUCGGACGCGGGUUCAAUUCCCGCCAGCUCCACCA